AUACGGAGGGGGCUAGCGUUGUUCGGAAUUACUGGGCGUAAAGCGCGCGUAGGCGGACCAGUCAGUCAGGGGUGAAAUCCCGGGGCUCAACCCCGGAACUGCCUUUGAUACUGCUGGUCUUGAGUUCGAGAGAGGUGAGUGGAAUUCCGAGUGUAGAGGUGAAAUUCGUAGAUAUUCGGAGGAACACCAGUGGCGAAGGCGGCUCACUGGCUCGAUGCUGACGCUGAGGUGCGAAAGCGUGGGGAGCAAACAGGAUUAGAUACCCUAGUAGUCC
rnacentral:rRNA from 1 species